rnacentral:rRNA from 1 species
UACGUAGGGGGCGAGCGUUGUCCGGAUUUAUUGGGCGUAAAGAGCUCGUAGGCGGUUCGGCAAGUCGACGGUGAAAUCUCCACGCUCAACGUGGAGGGGUCCGUCGAUACUGCUGUGACUCGAGUCCGGUAGGGGAGUGUGGAAUUCCCGGUGUAGCGGUGAAAUGCGCAGAGAUCGGGAGGAACACCUGCGGCGAAGGCGGGUUGCUGGGCCGGACACUGACGCUGAGGCGCGAAAGCUAGGGGAGCGAACGGG